rnacentral:lncRNA from 1 species
UUAUGAAAUCUCAAAUACCAUUGUCUGGAUGAUUGUUUUAGGCCGUAUAAAGAUUUUUUUAGUUUACAAACUUUAUUUUCUUGGCCAUCAACUUCAAAACCCGAAGGUUGAUCCAUAUAAAUUUCUUCAUCCAACUCACCAUUGAGAAAAACUGUUUUAACAUCCAUUUGAUGUAACUCCAAAUCUAAAUGAGUUACUAUGGCAAGAAUUAGACGGAUGGAGGCAAAACGUACUACCGGUGAAAAGGUUUCCUCGUAAUCAAUACCCUCUUGUUGAGUAUAACCUUUCGCCAUUAGGCGAGCCUUAUACCUUUCAAUGGAUCCAUCUGCCUUGCGCUUGAUUUUGAGAACUCAUUUGUUCCCUAUAGUCUUGCGCCCUAGUGGUAGAUCAACCAAGUCCCAGACAUGGUUGGAUUUCAUUGGCUCCAUUUCUUCUUCCAUUGCAAUUUUUCAUUGUUCUUUUUCUGGACAAGAUAAAGCCUCACUUACGUUCUUAGGUUCAGCUUCAUCAUGUGAAGCUACCAUGAAGGCUUCACCCUCAAUCUCAAAUCGUCGUCGAGGAAUGAUUUGAUGAUUGCUUCUUCGCAAUUUUGAACCAUGUGGAUCAUAUUCACUCCCACUCGAUUCAUGUAUGUCGUCACCAACAAAGUCUUCAAUUUCACACAAUUGAAAUUCCUUGUCAAUUUCACCUUUACUGGGAAAUUCGUCCUCUAUGAAUGUGGCAUCACGUGAUUCUAUUUCAGUUAAACCUCCCUCGGAAUGUUCACCUAAGAACACAUAACCUUUUGAUUGUUCUGAGUAUAUUAUAAAGAUACAUUUCUUCCCUCUAGGACCUAGUUUUUCAUACUUGUGGGAAGAAUCAUGAACAUAGGCUGCCGACCCCCAUGGUCGCAAAUAAGUUAAAUCAAGUUUUCUACCUGUCCAUAACUCAUAGGGAGUAGAUGCAACUGAUUUAGAAGGUACACGAUUUAAUAUAUAAGCUGCUGUUAAUAAAGCAUCUCCCCAAAACGAAAUGGAAAGAUUUGCUUGUGCCAUCAUGGAUCUAACCAUUUCUAGUAAGGUCCUAUUUCUUCUCUCUGCAACACCAUUUUGUUGCGGAGUUCCAAGAAUGGUUAGUUGUCUUUCAAUACCCUUUUCAUUACACAAUUCUUUGAACUGUUCAAAUAGAUACUCCCUACCCCUAUCAGUUCUUAAGGCUUCAAUCCUUCUGUCUAACUGAUUCUCUACAAGGUUAACAUAACGUUUGAAGCAAUCCAAUGCUUCUGACUUGUGAGCAAUCAGAUAGACAUAACCAAAACGAGUGAAGUCAUCUAUAAAAGUAAUGAAGUAUGAAGCUCUAUGUCUGGUCCUAACAUUCAUUGGACCACAUAUAUCAUAAUGAAUUAAUUGCAAUAGACAUUCGGCUCUUGUUCCUUUACCAAAUGGUUUUCUAGUUGUUUUUCCAGCUAGACAGUGUUCACAUCUAGGCAAAUCAAUUGCAGUGAGUGAACCUAACAGACCAUGUUUAGCAAGCCUAUUCAUCCUUUCUUGACCAACAUGUCCUAGUCUAGCAUGCCAAACAUUUGUAUUCACAUUUGUAUUACUACAAAAAGCAAUUGAAGAAAAACAACUACCAACAUAAUUAUACAUAUUAUGUUCAUAAUCCAAUACAAAGAAAUCAUUUAAUAAAUAGCCAGAACCAUAAUAAACAGAGUCAUAAAAUAUGUCCACAUGAUUGUUGCAGAAAUUUAAACCAUAGCCUAAACCUAAAAGAACAGAUACAGAGACCAAGUUUCGUCGAAUCUCUGGAGCAUAUAGGACAUCAUGUAGGAGUAAGGUUCGGCAACCACACAACACCAACUUGCACGUGCCUAUCCCUUUUAUGUCAACUUUCGCAUUGUUUCCUACAUAUAUCCAUUUAGUUCCAGUUUGGACUCGACGAUACUAUACAAAUGCACCUUGGUCUCCUGCUACAUGAUCUGUGGCUCCUGAGUCUACAAUCCACAAAGGAUAAGAAUCUGUGAGCAACACCGUACUAGAAACAUAAACAGUAUUAAGAAAAAUAGAAUGAAAUGCUACCUUUUUCUGCUCGAUACACUCACGAGCAAAGUGACCCAACUUGCCACAGUUAUAGCACUUCAUCUUCCUCUUAUCUUUCUUUUUCUUCCAAAACUGUUUGCCUUUCUGAUUUCCUUUGAACUUGUUCUUUUUAGGCCCCUGUCCAGUCUCAUCCCUUCCCCUUUCUGUUUUUAAAUUUUUUAUACCCAGAGCCUGAAGCCCUGUGUGAACUGGAUUCAGUCAUAUAAAUAUAUACGGGACCUCUUAUAGCCCCAAGACGCUCAUCUUCCAGUUCCACAUGGCGAGCCACAUCAGCAAAAGUUUUGAUGCUGUCGUUGUGAGUUAAAUUAUCUUUCAUGUGCUCCCAACUAUCAGGAAGAGAGCGAAUUAUUGCUUGAACUUGCUGCUCAUCAGUGAGGGUGUGUCCUCCUGACUUCAAUUCCCUUAUCAUGUUUGACAUCUCUCGUAGAUGUUAUUUGAUGGUAUGAUUAGGGCGUUUCUAAUAAGUAUCAAAUUUGAUGGUCAACUGUCUCAAUUUGAUUACAGUUGUACUGCCAAAUUUCUCCUUUAGAUGAACCCACAUUGCAUGAGCAGUAGGAUGUUGCUCGCACUCACCAAUGAGAUCAUCAACCAUUGAACUUAUCAUAAUUCCAUGAGCAGAGGAAUUCUUUGCUUUCCAAGCACGAUAAGCUUCUUGAUCUCUUCUAUGCUGAGCAGUAUUUCCUUCACCAGGGUCGGUCAUGGUAUGAUGAAUAGUUUCUAAUGCUUGUUGUUCCUCAAGAACAUAUUGAAUCUUAGUUUGCCAGAUAUUGUAAUUAUCUCCAUCCAAUUUCUCACCCUUAUUGAGAUCUACUAUAAUAUUCUUUGAUGCCAUGGUAUUUCAAAGCUACAUAGAGACAUUAUAAAAUUAAAUACUAGCACUUACAAAAAAAUUAUCUAAAACACCUAUCACUUUAUGCUAUAUAAUGUACUAAGUUAAUCAUGAUAUAAUAUAAGAAUAGAAUCGAAAGUUCAUUAUGUUCUCAAUCAUCUUCUAUAUACAAAUAUUAUAUCAUCACAAACUUGACAUUCACCAUAUAAAGAGAUAAGUUAUAGAUAAAAAAAAAAGUUCAAGAUUUCUCCAAAUCUAAGAACUCCCACUCAACUAAACAUUUAUCAAACAAAUGAAGUACUAUCAUUAUCAUCAAUGAAAGAUAGUUAUUUCAUGCCAUUUAUAAUUCUAAGUAUUAAAUGAAAUGCAUAUUUUCAUUAACACAAGAAAACACUACAUAGUGUUGAUUAAAAUGCAUAACAACAACAAUAUAAAACAAAAUGCAUAACAAUAUCCUCCAUGGAUACAAAUACAAUUCGAACUAACUUAAUUUUCACCGUUAAACACUCUACACCAUGGUUUUGGAACAAUAUUAUGAUACUCAUUGCACAAUGUCAAGUGUUGCCUUCUCUAAGAAUAGGCCUCCAUCAAAUCUGCAAAGAGCAGUGCACCUACCAUUUCGAAGAUUAGGAGAUAGAGCCAAAAUAUUUGCCCUUCUUAUAGCACUUGUAAUGUAAUGACGAUUAUAUGCAUUCCUAAAUUUCGAUACCAGAUCACUAUAAGAUACUAUGAAAUCAUACUUAUUUUUAAAUAUAUUCCACCAAGUUUUAGCCCAAUAAUCUGGUAUUGAAUUUCUCAAUGCAAGUGCUCUUUGAAAAUCUUGAAUGAUAUAAUCGUCAUUUUCAAGCACAUUGAAUAAGUCGUCUAAAAACGAUAUAUGUUGCUCCAUGGAGUGUGACUGUCACGCCCCGGGACCAGCAGUGGCCCUCCCGAUAGCGUGCCCAGACCCGCCAUAUGUUAACACAUAUAAGGCGUCUAAAACAACAGCGAAAAAUAAAGACAAGGAAUAAUCUACAACUAGAGAUAUCAGAGCGAGUAAGGUUCUAUCAUCUAAGCAAGAGUAGAAAAAAAAGCAUAACUAAACAAUAAGAGUAACAUAAGGUAGUACAAUAAUAUCUCCUCAACAGGAAUACAAUGAUCCAAAAGAAGGGUGGUCUCUAUACAUAUACAGGUACAACUCACAACCUCUCACAAAAUAAAACUACGAGAGGUAGACCACCUAUCAAAUCGUCCUCGAAGGAAGCUAGCUCGAAGCAACUCCCUUCCCGCGGUCCCUAGCCCCACCCUGCGUGGAAGGCUCUGAAAAACAUCGAGAAAAAGAGGGCGUGAGAACUAUAAUUUAUAGUUCCCAGUGGGCAAUUACUGACCUCAGCUCAAUGCACCACUAGGCCCCAAAAGAAAAGGGUANGACCGGUCUCUCCUUUCAGGGACCGGUCCCCGAGAGUAAAACUCUCAGGACUUGUCCAGAAUUCAGAUUUUCGAACUUUUUAGGUCGGAAAACAUUCUACAACCCUCCACCAAGUGUGGAAAAGCUCGAAAUACAUCCAAGCACUCGAACCUCGCAAUUUGCAAAGUUCCAGUGUGUUACAGUGACGGAUUCAUCUUAUAAGUCAUAAUGGCGCGCAAUAGUCUAUCACCACAUCUUCCCUUCAAGACUCUCUUAGUUCGAAUAGUACGUGCCAUAUCUAACAAAAAUAUUUAACAUUCAUGAAAUUGCCAUAUAUAACAAAAUUUAAUAAUCAUUAACAUGUAAAAUUUUCAAUGUAAAUAUUUUAUCUACAAUAUUAUGGCAUCAAUCAAUACAUUAUGAUGUCAAUUAAAUAAAAUAAAUUAAUUCAUAAUUUGCUAAAACUAUACAUGAGUUUAAAAUAAUUGAACCAUUAUAAAAUAGUCUAUUAAAAAAAAUAAAAUAGCAAAUUACUCUAUCCAGGAAUUGAACCCUUAAACCUCAUCCAUAUCAAAGACUUCAUCUUGAAGUCACCAACCAACAAGUCAAGUGUCAGGAUAUAAAGUAUAUACCGACUUUAAUGUAUAUAUACAGUUUCGGCCGUACCAUAUUAUUACAAUCCAAUAACCCGUUUAUAUUGGAUUGGAUCUCGAAAAAAAAAAAAUCCAUUAAUAGAAUAUUACGAACCCAUUAAGUCCGUGUUCAAUUCAUCGUACUUUCUUUUUCCGAAACGAAAAAGAAAAGAAAAAAAAAUUGAGCAAUCUACAUAUUAUUUAUUCUCAUUAUAAGAUUGACAAUACAAUUCAAAGAAUUUAAAAAAUAAAUUCUCACUUUAGAGUUAAAUCAUGUAUUCAAUCUCAAGAGAAGCAAUUUCAUACAAUUUCUCAUGUAUAAAAAAAUCAUUCAUAAUAAUUUCCAUCACAGAAAAAAUUAAGAGUCAAGGAUUUAGUUUAAACAUGCUCUGAUACCAAUGAAAGUAAAAUUUAUUCUAUGAAAUACCUCAAUUCCGAUUCGAAGAUCGUGAAGACAGGAUCAAGCCAAACCACUCGCUCCAACGGAUCAAAUGCAAGAUCACAAGAUGGAAAUUGCACUAGUUUUCACAACCCAAAUGUCAAAUCCUCCAAAUAGAGAGUAAACUUUUUUUAGGAAUCUCAGUAUAACACACUAGACCUUUGCAAAUUGCGAGGUUCGAGUGUUUAAUCUGUGUUCCGAGCCUUUCCACUAUUUCUGGAGGGUCGUUGACAUAGCUCUGACCUAUGGUUCGUAUCUUGAGAAUUGAGAUUUGAAACUUAGCACCAAAAUCCUAAAGUCGGGAUUGUUGGUCUUGCUCUCGGGUUAGCCUCAGCAAGGCUGUGUACCGGUACAGCCUUGAUGGUUGUACCAGUACAGGAUUUGUACCGGUACAGCCUUGAUGGUUGUAUCGGUACACUUGGAAUUUUCUGCCAACCCGAGGCUCGGGUUGCUGUCGCGUAGGAUUUGUACCGGUACACUUUCCCGUGUACCGGUACACUUUGCUCUGCGAGCUGUUUUUGUAGAGGGGUGUUUUUGCGAUUGUUGCAACCCCUUUAUAACUCACCCCAGCCCCUUAGAGAGCUCUCUUGAGCUCAGACCAGUGGAGAACAAGGUGAGUCCUUCUCCCUUCGAUUUCUUCUCCAUUUUUGAUGAUUGUAGUUGGUUUUGAUCUCUUUUUUCUUCUCCUCCUUGCUCUAUGUUGGUUCUUCACCAUUGGAGAAGCUUUGAAGCUUUUGUUGGAGCUUGUUUAGAGGGAGAACUUCAACCCUAGCUGGCUUGGAGCUUGUUUUGGGGCAUCUUGUGAGGUUUGUAAUAUGUAUUUCUCAUUUCAUACAUGUUUUAGUCGAUUUUGAUGUUGUAACCCUAGAAUUGGAGAUUUAGGGUUAGAAAUGGAGAUUUUUGAUUUGAGGCUUCUUGAUCUUAAUUGAUGGACUUAGAACCUUCCUUUAGGUUGGUUUUGGCGGGUUUUCGCUCUCUUUGGGAGAUCAAGAGGGAUUUUCACCAAUUUCGGUGAGUUUUCUUCACCUUUGCUUGAGUUGCUUAAUGUUUGAGCAAUUGAUUGUUCGUAACAUUCGUGUAUCCCUCCUUUUGUUACCUUUAGGGUACUAGGAGAGUAGUGGACACCUUCGUCGGUGCAAACGAAAGGUUUCGAGAAGUCACGGUGAGUUUGGCUUCAUUGGAAUAGGAGAAAUCUUCUCCUAAGUGGUUGAAUGUUGUCGUUUCUUCGCAUCGCAUGCAUAUUCAUGCUAGAUAGGAUUUAUAUGAAUUUUAGAAUACUUAAAAUGCAUGCACUAUGUAUCAUGAAAAUUUAACUCUAUAUAGUAGAGCCUCAGUUGUAUUAUGCAUGCAUGUGAGAAGUAUUCCAUAUUGCAAGUGGAAACAUGUCUCUUAUGAUGAAAAUGACUUGAAUUAUGUACUCCGGAACACUAAAUUUAUGCUUCGACUUAGUGGACAAAAGUGCCAUAAAGGGGCACCCGACUUAGUAAAUUGUGAAACUGCACCAUAGAGACAUAGUGAUAGGCCAUUGUGACAUCGACUAUAUUUCAUGUUUUAGACAUGAUGACAUGGUGAUAGGCUAUUGAAACACUUGCUUUAUUUCAUAUUUUAGACAUGAUGACUUGAGACUCGAGACAGACUUUUACGCUUGCUUGCCAUUGUGCUCAUUCGCACAUGCUUGUGAGGGUCGCUCCCCACAAGCCGGCACUCUGGAGAUAGCUAUCGCGACACAUGCUCGCCCGUGCGGGAUUUGGGGCCGAAAUAGGUUGCCAUGGGGGAGGCUCUUUCAAGAGUGGGGAUGUUGACUACCACGGGGCCAUUAGGCAUGGUGCAAGCCGGACUACCCACGGGUAGGUCCUAUGAAAUUUGGAACAAGUGGAACCAAUUUGUAAAUGAACAAUUUGACAAGUUAGUAAAUAUUGACAAUUUACUAGUUACCUGUGGACAUCAUAGUAGUUGCACUUAUGCAUAGUUAUGGUACAGUAGCAUUCUUACUUAUGCAAAUUCAUGCUAAGUAGAGAUAUCAUAUUGUAGUAAACUUUCAUGUUUAUUUGCUUAUUGUUCAUAUUGCUUUACUCGUACUUACUCCCCCUUUUCAGCUUUUGGGUCUGGUGGCGCAUUUCACUGAAGUGAGUAAUUGCCCACUGGGAACUAUUAUUUAAUAGUUCUCGCGCCCCCUGUUUUGUGGUUGUAUUUCAGAGCCCUCUACACCGGUGGAGGCACGGGAUCGCGGCAAGGGGAUCGCUUAGCUAGCUAGCAAGGAGCGUUUCUUUUGCUUAUUAGGUGGUUUUCUCUUUAUGUUUGUAUCUUGUAGAGAGAGAGAGAGCUUUUGUAUCCAUGUGUAGAGACCACCUUGGGGAUUCAUUUAGCAGCUGUAUUUGGAUUUCUGAUGUACUCCUUUAUAGUUUAUUUAGUGGAUUUUAGCCUUUCGCUUAUUUCCUUAUUAUAGAAUCUAGUUGUACUUGCUCUGAUGCUUCUAGAUGUCUUUCUUCUAUUGCUUUAUUAUCAUUUUUUUUUAGACGCCUUAUAUGUUUCAGACAUAUGGCGAAUCUAGACACGUGCCGGGCGAGCUUCCGCUGGGCCUUGGGGUGUGACAGAUUAUUUUGGUAUCAGAGCCUAGGGUUGAGUCUUAGUGAACCUACUUAGGCCGGUUGGACUAUAGGAAAUAGGGUUGUGAGAGACGAGGUCUAUUUGACUUGUAAGCGAAAGUAUCAUGAUUGGGUAUCCUUGAUAACUCUAGAAAGUGGAGUUAAAUCGAAGUGUAUAGCUUCUAACUUCGCGGAGGGUUAUGUUGGCGGCCGACAACGUAACAUCGGGAGUUAGUAGUGAAGAAUAUUUUCUUACUUUCGCAUGAUUUGGGUAUUAUCUUCUUGAGCGGGGAUUCGAUAGCGUGGGUUUACUAACUUGCGCUUUUAUGAUGUUAUAGUGAGAUGCCGAUGACACGGUCUUAAUCUGCCGGGGCGGAUAAUGCGGCACACCUUGACUCUUGAGGAGGUCGAGACCUCCACUACCUCUAGAUCAAGCGAGGUCCGUGAGUUGAGGAGCCAGCUUGUGGCCCUCACCGACUUGGCAUCGCAGCAGACAGCGGCAGCUCAGCAGCCGGCUGAUGCGGCGCGCUGACAGGAGGCGCGGAUGAAGCUGCUCGACGACCUUCUUCUACAGCAGGCAGCUUCUAGGGAGGCUCCGGUUCCUUCGCCGCCUGCACCUGUUGGGGACGUCACAUCGAGGGCGCCGUCACCCGCACCCGGAUCUUCGCGUGUGGCGCCCGUAGUCGUGCCUCGAGAGGAGGACUUUGUGGCACCACCUGUUCAGGUGCCUCUGGCGGGGACAGUUUUUCCCGCAAUGGUCGAGGGAGCAGAGCGGGACCGACUUAUGGAGUGCCUCAAUGAGUUCAGGAGGUGCAGCCCCCGGAUCUUCGAUGGCGAGAAGGUCGACCACUGGAUCAUGGAAAAGUGGUUGAUGCACAUGGAGAAGCUCUUCCGCGACACCUUCGUGGAGGAGAGGGAUCGAGUUUGGCUCGCCACACACCACUUGGACGGCGAGGCCUACUGUUGGUGGUUGGAUAUGCAGGAGAACCCCAGCACAGAUUUGGCGGCUAUUUCUUGGAAGAAGUUCAAUGAGCUUCUAUUGGCGCACUACUUUCCGGACAGCGUCAAGAGGAAAAUGGAGCAGGACUUGCACAACUUGUGCCAGAGAGACCGGACACUAGCUGAGUUCGAGAGGGAGUUUUCUCGGCUUCUGCAUUGGGUGUCUUUCGUCGUGCGGGAUGACGAGGACAAGGCCCGCAUCUUCAAGCGAGGAUUGCGACCGUCGAUCUUCCGGUUUGUGCAAUCCUCUAACCUCCAAACCUACCGGGAGGUGGUGAACCGCGCGCUCAUCGUGGAGAGCAGCACGGCGGAUAUGCAAGAGCGGAGAGAAGGCAUGGACAAGGAUAAGGGCAAAAGGCCCGCGGCUGAGGGUGCGAGUCAGACGCACUUUAGGAGGCCGCCGAAGCACCCUAAGAGCCAGCAGCGUGGGCGCGGCUCGGCAGCGCAGCGAAGAGGUUCUGAUCGACGCCGACCUCCCCAGUGCGUGAUCUGUGGUGGUCCCCAUGUUCCACUGCAGUGCCCGCAGCGGGGAGGGAGGUGUUUCCUGUGUGGCCAGGAUGGACACUUCCGGACCGAGUGCCCGAGGGGUUCGUCACCGGCACCGUCGACUGCAUUGGCAUCGGCACCGGCUUUACCAGCUUCGAGCCAAGAGACUCCAUCGGCAUAGUACCAGCCUGGACGGUCAUCCGUCCAGCGACAGAGCGAGGGAUCUCGACAGGCCUCGAGUGGGCGUUUGUACGCCGCUCAGACCGAGGAGGCGGCAGCAGCCGAGGAUGUGGUUGCGGGUAUCAUUUUAUUAAAUGGCAUUCGAGUUCGUGCAUUGUUUGAUACCGGUGCAUCACAUUCAUUCAUAGAUCGGCUGUUUGCCGAGUUGCAUGGCAUCCCUUUGGUUUCUUUGUUGCAUCCGGGACAGGUUGUAGUACCCGACGACAUUUUGGAUAUUCGAGAGUUUUGCCACAGUUGCCCUGUUCGGAUAGGGGAUUGGAUUAUGCCCGUGGAUUUGCUAGCCUCGUGCAAGCUGGGGGAGUUUGAUGUGGUCCUAGGCAUGGAUUGGUUAACCAAGUACUAUGCCACGAUCGAUUGCAAGAAUCACACGGUUACUUUUAGAGAACCGGGGCAGAUUGAGGUUGUAUUUAGAGGAUGCCAGAGUUCAUUGUUUGCGAUGACGAUCAGCUCGUGUCGAGCUAGGCAGCUGAUCAGCAGAGGUUGUAUAGCCUAUUUGGCUAGUGUUGUUGUGAGGGGCGAUGAUGACACCCCUAGGAUUGAGGAUCCCAGUGGUGCGGGAGUUUCAGGAUGUGUUUCCAUUUGAGCUACUGGGUAUGCCACCGGAUAGGGAGAUUGAGUUUGUGGUAGAUCUCGUCCCCGGGACUACUCCAAUCUCAAAGGCGCCCUAUAGGAUGGCACCGGCGAAGCUGAAGGAGCUGAGGGCACAGCUGCAGGAUUUGUUGGACAAGGGCUUCAUUCGACCGAGCGUCUCACCUUGGGGAGCACCAGUCUUAUUCGUCAAGGAGAAGGAUGGAUCACUACGCCUAUGUGUAGAUUAUCGUGAGCUUAAUAAAGUCACGAUCAAGAAUAAAUAUCCGUUGCCGAGGAUCGACAACUUGUUUGAUCAGCUUCAAGGAUCGAGUGUGUAUUCCAAGAUAGACUUGCAGUCAGGAUACCACCAGUUAAAGAUCAAACCUGAGGAUGUUUCGAAGACGACUUUUAGAACACGGUAUGGACAUUAUGAGUUCACAGUUAUGCCGUUCGGGCUUACUAAUGCCCUGGCAACUUUUAUAGAUCUAAUGAACCGUGUUUUUAAGCCUUAUCUAGACAGGUUCGUCGUGGUGUUCAUCAACGAUAUUUUGGUUUAUUCUCGAAGUGAUGCAGAUCACGAGGAACAUUUGAGGCUUGUACUUCAAAUACUUCGGGAAAAGGAGCUUUAUGCCAAGUUGAAAAGUGUGAAUUUUGGCUUCGAGAGGUGGCAUUCCUUGGACAUUUGAUUUCGGGAUCGGGUAUAGCCGUGGAUCCCAAGAAGAUUGAGGCUAUCAAGGAUUGGCCGAGACUGACGAGCGUCAUGGAGAUACGGAGCUUGCUUCGAUUGGCCGGUUACUACCGGAGAUUUGUCGAGGGGUUUGCUAAGCUAUCUACUCCCCUCACGAGACUCACGCAUAAAGGCGUCAAGUUUAUUUGGAACGAUGCUUGUGAAAGGAGCUUCUAAGAGUUGAAGCAGAGAUUGACAACCGCCCCGAUCCUAACCCUGCCGGUUGCCGGAGCAGGGUAUGUGGUUUAUAGCGAUGCUUCAUUUAAUGGAUUGGGUUGCGUUUUGAUGCAGGAUGGCAAGGUGAUCGCGUACGCUUCUCGCCAAUUGAAGGAUUAUGAAAGGAAUUACCCUACACAUGAUUUGGAGUUGGCGGUCGUAGUCUUUGCAUUGAAGCUAUAGCGCCACUACCUGUAUGGCGAGCGGUGUGAAGUAUACACGGAUCACAAGAGCUUGAAAUAUCUAUUCACUCAGAAGGAGCUGAACUUAAGGCAGCGCAGAUGGUUGGAGCUGCUCAAGGAUUAUGAUCUGAGAAUUCUCCACCACCCAGGCAAGACUAACGUGGUGGCGGAUGCGCUAAGUAGGAAAUCGACCGAAAACUUAGCGAUGCAUGUUGUUACUCAACCGUAAUUGAUCGAGCAGAUGAAGCGAUUGGAGUUCGAGGUGGUGAUUCCUGACACGCCCUUGAGGUUGAUGACCUUGGCAGUGCAACCUAUAUUGUCGGAUAGAAUUAAAGAAAAGCAAGUUUUCGAUGUGAAAUUGUAAAAGAUUAGAGAUAAAAUGGUCGAUGGUUGCACCGACGAUUUCCUUGUGGAUGAUCAAGGUUUGAUGCAUUUUUGUGGACAGCUUUGUGUACCGGCGAAUUCGGGACUUAAAGAAGAUAUUCUUCAAAAGGCACACCGGGCACCCUAUGCUAUACUUCCGGGGGGCACCAAGAUGUAUAUGGACUUAAAGUUGCUCUAUUGGUGGCCCAAAAUGAAAAAGGAUGUAGGUGAGUUUGUUGCUAGAUGUCUAACUUGCCAACAGGUGAAGGCUGAGCACCGAUUACCCGCGAAAAAACUUCAGAGUUUGCCGAUUCCCAUGUGGAAGUGGGAGAAGAUCACCAUGGAUUUUGUGAUGGGAUUGCCUCGCUCACAGGCCGGGCAUGAUGCUAUUUGGGUGAUUGUGGAUAGGUUGACGAAGUCGACGCACUUCAUACCUAUUCAUACGACUUGGACUGGAGAAAAGCUCGCACAAGUGUACCUUGAUGAGAUUGUGCGACUUCACGGAGUGCCUACCUCGAUUGUAUCUGAUCGAGACACCCGAUUUGUGUCUCACUUUUGGAGGAGUCUGCAGGACGCCUUAGGUACUCGAUUAGAUUUCAGUACUGCUUUCCACCCUCAGAGUGACGAGCAGUCGGAGCGCACCAUUUAGACUUUGGAGGAUAUGCUCCGAGCAUGUGUGAUAGACUUCCAGGGAGGAUGGUCGCAGUAUCUACCGAUGGCAGAGUUUGCUUAUAACAAUAGUUAUCAAGCAAGCAUCAAGAUGGCACCCUUCGAAGCACUUUAUGGACGGAAGUGUAGAUCGCCACUUCAUUGGAGUGCAGUUGGCGAGAGAUUGGCUUUAGGCCCUGAUGUGCUCCAAGAAGCUAAGGACAAGGUUCGGGUUGCUCGGGAGCGACUUUUGACGGCACAGAGUAGACAGAGGAGUUACGCCGAUUGACAAGGUUCGGGUUACCUGUGGACAUCAUAGUAGUUGCACUUAUGCAUAGUUAUGGUACAGUAGCAUUCUUACUUAUGCAAAUUCAUGCUAAGUAGAGAUUUCAUGUUGUAGUAAACUUUCAUGCUUAUUUACUUAUUGUUCAUAUUGCUUUACUCGUACUUACCCCCCCAUUUCAGCUUUUGGGCCUAGUGGCGCAUUUCACUGAAGUCAGUAAUUGCCCACUGGGAACUAUUAUUUAAUAGUUCUCACGCCCCCUGUUUUGUGGUUGUAUUUCAGAGCCCUCUACACCGGUGGAGGCACGGGAUCGCGGCAAGGGGAUCGCUUAGCUAGCUAGCGAGGAGCUUUUUUUAGCUUAUUAGGUGGUUUUCUCUUUAUGUUUGUAUCUUGUAGAGAGAGAGAGAGGUUUUGUAUCCAUGUGUAGAGACCACCUUGGGGAUUCAUUUAGCAGUUGUAUUUGGAUUUCUGAUGUACUCCUUUAUAGUUUAUUUAGUGGAUUUUAGCCUUUCGCUUAUUUCCUUAUUGUAGAAUUUAGUUGUACUUGCUCUGAUGCUUCUAGAUGUCUUUCUUCUAUUGCUUUAUUAUCGGUUUUUUUUUAGAUGCCUUAUAUGUUUCAGACGUAUGGCUGAUCUGGACACGUGCUGGGCGGGCUUCCGCUGGCUCCCGGGGUGUGACACUCAGUAAUGGGGAAAGCAAUCUCAUUAGAAGAGGAAGAAUCAGAAAAUGAGAACCUUCUUUCACACUCAUUCUCUCCCUUUUUUCCUGUGCACGUUUGUAACUGCACGUACUGAGUGGUUUCCCAACCAACUAAGGAAACCACCUCUUAAUGGGUCGGGUCGGAUUAGUCCAUCAUGGGCGACCCGGGCUUAUGGGCUAUCCAUAUAUUUAUUGCAAAAGAUUGUGCCGAUUCCAACAGAUGAAUUUAUAUACAAACGCCUACACUAACACCUUUAUGGGAAACAAUGUACAAAUAUAAGGUUGCGAGGAACAGGUAUACGACAUUUGGUUUUCACUAUAAUUUACAGAAUAAGAGAUGUUCAGGACAAUAUUAUUUUAGAGCUAGAAGAUGAAUUUUGAUAUCUUAUAAAGACAUUUAGAACACGUAUAGUAGAUAUUUGGAACACAUAAUUUAAUACGUGGCUACCAUAUAUGUAAUACAAAAGAUUAUGAGAUUACCAAUAGAUAAAUUUAUGAACGAAUGUCUAUACUGCCACACUAUAUGUUAUAGAUUUCUACGUUGGCAGAUUUUUCCAACACACAUUAUUUAGUAAGUUUUUACAGUAUUUAUUGUGAUUUAAUUUUAUAUUGAUAAGUUUGGAAGUGUUAUAAAUUUGAAAAAAAUUAUCUUAAAACUUAAACUGAUGUAUGGUACAGCUAUAAAGUUAUUGGGAACAUCUGUACCAAAUUUCGCUACAGCCACAGUGGCACACGUAUAGGUUUCCAAAAUUAUUAUAGCCGAAAAUAGGUACAGCUAUAAAGACAUAAUGAUCAUGUAUAUUUAAUAUGGUGAUAGCUAAAUUGCAGAUAUCACAUCUAUACAUGAUAACAGUAGCGGUCAUAAUGGCUUACGGACUAUCCAUAUAUUCAUUGCAAAAGAUUGUGCCGUUUUCUAAUAGAUGAAUUUAUAUACGAAUGUCUAUACUACCAUUCGGAACAUCUUUAUAAAAAAUAGUGUACAGAUAUAAGGUUGCGAGACAUAGCUAUACAAAGUUUUCACUACAUUUUACAGAGUAAAAGAUGUUCAGAAUAAGAUUAUUUUAGCACAAGAAGAUAAAUUUUUAUACCUUAUAAAGACAUGCAAAACAAGUAUAGUUGAUACUCAGAACACUUAUAAUUUUAUACGCGACUAUCAUAUAUGCAAUACAAAAGAUUAUGUGAUUACCGAUAAAUCAAUUUAUGCAUGAACACCUGUACUGCCAUAUUGAAUGUUACAGAUUUCUAAGUUGGCGGAUUUCUUCAGUAUAUGUCAUUCAGUAAGUUUUUACAGUAUUCAUUGUGAUUUAAUUUCAUAUUGAUAACUUUGGAAGUAGUAUAGAUUUGAAAAAAUUAUCUUAAAACUUAAACUGAUGUAGCGUACAGCUAUAAAAUUACUAGGAACAUAAAUUUUAAAAAAUUGUCUUUAAACUUAAAUUGAUGUUGGGUUGUCACGCCCCGGGAUUUAAAACUAAUGCGGAAGUACCCAAUUUUUUUUUUUUUUUUUGAAAACAUGACCCCAGAGGAUGUCAGAUCCGCUACAAAUUAAUACAGAGUAUCCACUAUUCACACGGACAGAGUCUCCCUUGUAUUUGUACGGCGUCACACAAGUAUAGGAUACAACCACGUUGUACAUACAUACAAUCACCACAUCACAUACACAUUCUCAUUCAUUCCAUCACAGAUAAUCAUCAUUCCACAUCUAUUAGUUCAAAACGUUUCCCACUCGAAAACUUUUUUUGAAAUACUAGGAAUCAUGAAAACCAGAAACCCUUUUUAAAACCGUUUCCCACGGAAAUAUUUUUCUUUAAAAACACGCUACCACGAGGGGUAGAAAACUAUUUUCAUCUCAUGAAAAUCAUCAAUUCUUCAUUACAUUCACAAAAUCCCAUUUAUCUAAUUAAUGUGAAACCAAUUGAACCAUAAAUACUAAAUUAAUUAUUUAAGAAGUCAAGUCAAAGGAUUUAACCAAAAUGACGGGUCGGUAGGUCUAUCGAUCGCUAAGAUGCGUGCCUCACAAAAAGUCCUGACUCGGACCAGCAACGUCACCUGAAAUCGGUUUGGGGGGUAAAAAUAUGUACACAUGUCUCCCCUUCCAGUGGGUAUCAUAAGCCGACGAAGGCGAUGAGUACUCACCGGUAGAAAGAGAUCAUCAAAGUCAUAGGUAGAUAUCACAAAUACAGUAGCAAAUAUGCCGGAAGGAAAGGGAACAGUAAUAUAACAUGUAACUACUGCUACUGUAAAAUAGAAUAGAAUGCAUACAUGGAUAUCAUAACUACAGUAGCAAUGAUGCAGGGGUAAACAACAAGAUAGAGGAAUAUAACUAGCCGUUACUAUAAUGCAGAAUAAAGUGCAAGUAUGCAUCAACUGGAUAUACGAGAAGUCCAAGGUAUACCCAAUCCCUGUAGCCUGUCAUGAAAACUUGGCCUAAGCUCGCCUAUAGGUCUCAAGGAUUGAAAAUCAAGUACCACUCCGAAGGGACACAAGUACCUGCACCCAAAGUCGCUAACUCUGCCUAAGCGCGGCGUAUAUCAAGUCUAGGGGUGAGAACUCAGGGUGGCGAACCCUGUCUAUGACACCUCACCUCCCACUGGGCUGGCAACUGAAGUACCCCGGGUUAGUAACCCUGUUUAAGAUUCCUUCAGUGCCGUACAAGCUAUAGUCAACCAAUGUCAAAGCAUAUCAGGUAUGAAUACGAAUGUCACCGAUUAUGAAGUCAACUAAAAUGUAUGCACAAGAACUGAUCAAUAGGUCACAAGAAUGUCACAUUAUGCAUCGGUAUAACCGAGAUCUAGCCGUCAGCCACUAGCCGACAAUCCUACCCCUCAGGGCACACCGACCUCAUAGGUCAUCAAUGACAAGAGUCACGAAACCGACCGACUAGGUCACAUAAAUGUCAAAUGAUGGAUCGGUGUAAUUUAUAAUCAUCCGUCAGCAACUAGCCGAUAAUCCCACCCCCCAAGGUAUACCGACCUCAAGGGUCAUCAAACGACAUGAGUCAUGGAAUCGACCGACUAGGUCACAAAUCUCACGUAUAAUCACCAAUCCGCUCUAUUUCUAAAUCACGAAACUGGAUAUGCAACUAACCAAGUAGAGCAAUAAAGAGAGAUAGUAAGGGUGCUAGGCUCAACACAUAAUAUGCUAGGUAAUAAUAAGGAAAGGGUGAAGAGAAUGUCACCGAGCGUGCACCACUGUACCGACUCCGAGCCGAAGUACCCUCCUAUACCGUAUGAAGUACACGGGUUGUCGACUGCUUCCCGCCGCCUUCCGCUAUCACUCGGACCUAUGCAUAGUCGCAACGAAACCAUAAUUAGCCUAAACACGUAAAGUGCUUAACACCUUAGACUUGACGUGAUUCUAACUAUUGGCCAGCGGACUUUCCCAGUUUUCGACUGUCGGUCACCUUAGAAUCAUGCGAAUGCUGUGCUGAUUCGACGUAAUGUCGCGCCAACCCACAAGGCGAUCCAAAGUAUACCCCACAGCUGUCGUACACUCCUCACUGUCCCAAAGCAUUGCUUUAAUGCCUUGGGACAGCCGCACAAUAAGUGCGCUAAAAAGGGGAAAGUCGGGGUUUCAGAAACUAACUAUUUGGCUUCCGGGGUGUCGUAUAUAGUCCCGGAACCCUCCAUGUCUUUCUUGCUAUAAUCGAGGGUGUCUAACUUUCCCCCGGCGCUUUGCAAAUCAGCCACAAGCCUACUGCGAACAGCAACAGCAAAAAUGACACGAGGUCGCAGCCGAGACCGCCCGAAAUUUGCAUUGUUGAUUUUCGUUGAGCCCCGAAUGUCACGCCCCGAGCCCCGCCUAUUUGGUCGAAUUCGGGCCCGCUAACAAACCACCGAACGGACAGAGUUUCCCCUGUACGUCCUAGGCGUCGCAAUCAAUACAAUUCGUGAGGUUCCAACCAGGAAGAGUAAUCAAGCAAGGAUUGCAUAAGGAAGUAUAAAAAAACAUAAAACAACUAAAUUAUUACAAGCAUUCACAUCACAUGCUUUUUACAUAUUAUAUUUUUUUUUUUCUUUUCUUCAAAAUACAAUCAAGGUUGUUACAACAUUAUCUUGCAUCUUUUCUACAACCCCUAGCUAAGCCGACUCGGGGUAAUGCUAUUUCUGGUCUCGGUGGUAGGGCGCUAUCUAUGGAGCUACGCCCUUUCCUUGCGCCGUCGCGCUGUUCAUGUGUGAACCUGUACCCCCAAAAAUAAUACGGGGGUGAGAACUAUUGUCCAUAGUUCCCAGUGAGUACUAUUGUCCAUAGUUUCCNUCUUGAGUCAAUCAUCCGCGGAGUACCGCGUAAAGCCAGGCUCGAGGUGAAGGACAUCUCACAUGCACCUCAGCCUUAAAUCCACUCAACUGGGAUACAAAAUCCACUUUACUGGGAUUCAACUACGACUCAUAUGCUUGUCACCCAAUCAACUUGGCUAACCCGAAGGUUCGCCUCGACUCACAGUGCAAUCCCAUAGGUAAGGAGACCCUCCCGCUCGCAAACCCGAGACCGUCUGCUGGACAAGUAUGUUAGUCCAUCGUGUGAAGACUUCGGAGCUCACUGCUUGGGUGGAGCGACCACCACCAGGCGAGAACAGACUAUGUGAGUAUGAUCCAAUCCUCUCUAACUGAGGAUACCCUAUCAACUAGGAAUAACCAUGACUCGGGAAAUCCACCAAUCCCUAUAUUCAUCAUGUCAUAAGUGUCUCUACUACACUAGUUCCAAAUGCCACUCGAUCUACUUGACAUGCUACUUGUCCACAUCGAGUUUUAUAGUCUAUAUGUCCUUGUUUUCCAAUGUCGAGUUCUCUAAUCAAUUUAGAGUUAUCGACCCAAGUUCAACAUGCACAUGUCAAUUAACAUAAUCCGCAAUAUAUAUCAACUUGCAUAAUUCAUCUAGCAUAAUCCACCAUAUGUCAUUAUGCAUUUCAUUUAGCAUAUACAAUAUGUCAUCAUGCAUUUCAUCUAGCAUAUACAAUAUGUCAUCAUGCAUAUAUUUUCAUCUAGCAUCUCAUCUAGCACUUAAUUCAUGCAUUCAUCUAGCAUUUAAUUCAUGCAUUCACCUAGCAAUUAAUUCAUGCAUUCAUCUAGCAAUUAAUUCAUGUAUUCAUCUAGCGUAUAAUUCAUUGUAUGCAUCAAUAACAAAACCGCAUUCCACUUCGACAUGGAAGCGAGCUAAUAACUUUGGUGAGCACAACCCAUCUUGCAACGCUAUCUGAUUGCUUGUAGUCACUUGCAAUCGGCCUCCCGCGGCACGCGUGGUCCGGUUCGAUCCAAACUCGCAAUCGGCAACCGAACGCCCGCUAAUCCGCGACCUAGGGUCAUCAAUGGCCCAUCUCUAACCUUCAAUUAGAGAACAAUAGGGUUUAAUUAGAUCAAAACCCUUUAAUUUUCAAACCCUCAUUUUAAGCCCUAGCAUGAAAUUAACCUCCAAUUAUUCCAAAAUUAAAUGGAGCGACAUGCUAGAAACACUCUAGAGACUACUAGAAUACUAAGCAUUAAGGAUUAAACCAAAUCCUAAACACUUACCAAAAUUGCGAACGCCGAGUCGAAAGCACACCGCUCAACCGGGCGCAUGAAGACUCGAUCCGUCGCUUCCAACGCGUUCACAAGCUCGCUCACCGCCAAUGUUGCGAAUUUGAGAGAGAGAUCUAGAGAGAUGAGGGAGAUAUUUAGAGAGAGAAAGGGAAGGUUUCUCUCUCUCCCUCUCCAUGCAUGUGUGCUGGUGUGUGGGUGUUGCUCGACUGAGGAGGAAGAAGAAGAAGACACUCCUUUUUAUAGUCACACCCCUUAAUAACACUAUUACAACCAGCGGUUUAGCUUUCAGAAUCUGAUACUUUUCGCCGGAGCCUUUCUGAAUGUCCGUUUGCGCUCAAAUUUGACAGUUAGGCUCGGUUUUCCUUAUUAAGAAAGAAUAUAUCUUAAGUUUUCAGUUUCGACCACUUUUGGUCACCGAAAGCUCUACCAAACUAAAAUCUCUAGUAUAUAGCAGUCGGAUUUUAUUUUUCACUUUUCUGGUGUCAGAAUGACAUGAAACUUUAAAUCUAGCCUCAUAAAAAUAAUCCUGACAUAUUUUCAGAUUUUCAUAAUUUUCUGACACUGUGCAUUUUCUGCUAAAAUAUCAGUCCCGUUCCUUACAGAAAAUUCUAAAUCUUCUGUUUUCAUUCUGAUUUUAGCACGAGUCACUUCCGACUCAUAUGUUACUUCUUUAAGUCCAAUAAAAAUAGUAUCUCACACUAUUUUUAUUUACACUUAAUUUUAUAUUAAAAUCUGGUACAUUACUUUCUCUCCUUCUUAAAAGAGUUUCGUCCUCGAAACUUCAAUCACACUUCAACUCGACCUAUCGAGCCAUUGAGGACAUUAACCUACCUACCUUCUCCCUAGAGAACACACUCCGAUUUGAUCACCGGCAUUGCUUAAAGUAAUGUCACUGGUGCAUCGCCCAAUCACGAGUGCUUUAGUCGCAACCGGAUCUUCGCUCUAUUGCGAGAUGGCAUACUCCGUCAGAUCUCCAAUUUCAACCCUCAAGAGAGCAAUAUCCGCAACUUCGUGUGGCUAUUCAUUAUCCAAGUGUCUCCUAGAGACCACUUUAUCUUUUGAUACUAUAUGCCACAACCAACUUGAAUUCGUUCCUACAACGAACUCACACGAACACUCCGUUCGUGGAUCCAAGCCAAACUCAUCAGCAGAGUUAUCGGAUAAACCGCUCACCUCGGUUUCCACAGGUAGACCAAAGGUUACCAAUCCUACGUAUGUCUACAGCCUAAACCUGUCUGAAUUAUGCGCAGCGUCUCUCACUCGCAACCGUAGACCCAAUCAUCACUAGGCGAAAUUCUCACUUGGGAAUUCGCACACACCCCAACCAGGAGCAACCAAGACCCCAAACCACUACAAAUCCUCGGGUUGGGUCACAACCGCAUACUCGGUGUACCAUCGAUCACACGAUCCAACACGUGGCAUCCCAUGCUCCCGGGUCUAAGCUCGGACUACCGCCCUGGCCGAAAUCUUUGCCCUACCUGUAGGUACCGGGUCGCUGUCACACACAGCCGACUGCGCCUGUCCACAUGGUCCCAGGCCCCGCAGUCCACAAAUGGUCCAGGCACGGGUCGUCCUCAAGCAACACCCGUCCUCGUCGUCCUACACGACAUACUCUAUUGAGCAACACGUACCACUACCGGCUCCUAAGCACCUAGUGCGAUCCACCAGCCCUACGAGUGAUCGAUGGCCCGCUUCACACUUAGUAAUACUGAAGUGCUACUGCCAACUCUCUCUCUCGGCUGAAUCAAAUUCGCACUCCACGAUUAACUACACUUGAGCGUCGUACGCCUCUAUAGCGUUCCAAAUUACGUCCCGGAUUAGGCAACCUUGCCUAUGCACACCGACUACACGAGCACGAUUCAUCGACCUCAAUUCGAGGUGCAACGAGGCCCACGUGCCCGCAUUUGGCCACUAACCAACUAUUCCGUCAACAGUGAUUCUACUCUCACUGUUGGAUCUAUCAGGGCAACAUCCGUAAUUUUUGGACUCUCAAGAGAUCCUCAAGUACCAUGGUUCAACUCUCGCAAUUUAUCAACCACAUUGCUUUGAGAGUCGAUUCGCCACUUCCAUCUCUGCCGCGAGUCUCAUUUCUCGCCCACAGACCAUCACCAGUAAUUCGCUAGUGUCCUUUGGCUCUCUACCUGCUCCAGCAGGCACUACACCCUCACCAUAUAAGCAUGCCCGGAUAUCUACACUUACCCGUCCACUCGGUCGCUACUAUACUAAUGUAUAAAUAGUAGCAACUGACUAUUUGAUAAAUGUAUGCAAUGCACCAACUUAACAUCUUGCAAAAGCAUAUGCUUGCUUCAAUUAAAUCAUACCUGCCAUGGCAUCGUCAGCAGUAGCAGGUUCCACAACCCGGGUCGCGUAUACACGCUAUUUGGGACACGCCACGAACCCUCCGGUUGCAUUAUCCUUAAUGUCCGCUCUCCCGACCAUGCCGCAGGUGGCACACCUGCAGGCUGUCCCGGAGAGGAAAAAGGCCAUCGCCAGCGUCAGGGGCCGGCUACUACCUUGUGGACUCUCGUCCUGCGCAUAGCCCGGUUGCCCAUACCUGCAGCACUUGCCCUCUUGCAGCUCACACUAUUGUGGGUAACGAGGACACCCACAAACAACACAUCUCGCCGAGGACCGAAUACAGUAGGUCCCCGGAACUCAGGAUCACGAGCGCGAACGCAUCGAUGUUUACUGAGAACUUGACUGACCACCGGAUCCACUCGUUGGUCGUCCUUUUUCCUUUUCCUUGCAACAAGACUCGCGCUCCUGCCGCAUGAUUGCACUGCCUUGUUCUAUCCACAAGGCCCAAUUCUCAAAUCUCCUCCAAUCUCCACCAAUCCUCACUUGGGAAGAGCUCCUAGAGAGAGAGGGAGAGAAAAACGGAGUUGAAGGGGUACUCUCUGCUGUGAAUAAGAAAGGAGGAGGUCUGGGGUUUAUACAAGCCACCAUAAUCGUAUUUAAACCCUCCAACAUUUCUUUUUUGCAGCAAAUCAAACUCUGCUAUUUACAGCAUAGGGUACCGGUACGCAGGUGGGCGUCACCGGUAUGCCCCCUGUUCAACCUCCCAAACCCGAGAGUUGAUGUUCUCAGGUUGCUACGGGGUACCGGUACGCACCAGGGGUGUAAAGAGGUGAAAACUCGUUGUGUAAAUCCAAAACUUCGAUCGAAAAUGAUCGAAGGCGAGUUCGGGACGCUUCGGAAAGGCCGGAGGUGUCGAAAACGGCUUAAGUGCAUUGUGGAGGGCCUUGGAGAGGAAGAUAGUGCAAUUAUGCACAUUUGCAGGAUUUUGUGCUCUCGAGGACCAGUCCCUCUGGGGAGAGACCAAACCCCGUACGCGUAGAAAGUCUGGCAGCAACUCUGCGUGAAAUUCUACUCUCGGGGUCCAGUCCCCCGCUAGAGGGACCGGUCCCCGUACCCAAAAACUGCAAGAAGCAAGAAGUGGAGGGGGUUUUUGGUUAUUGUUGCAAGUGAGGGGCUAAAUGAGGGAUUUUCCUUCUCUUUUCUCUCAUUCUCCCUCAACCUAAACCUCAAAACACUCUCCCUCUCUCUCUCUAGAAGUGGAACAAGGAGGAGGAGAAGAAGAUUGGAGCUUGGAGGUGGGCCAUCAUCUUCUCCAUCUUCUUCCUUGCUUGGGGGACUAGCUAGUUGAGGUAAGCUCUUGGUCCCUCUCAUGGUUAUCUUGUUAGGGUUUGCUUGGACCUCUUGAAACCUAGCUAGAUGGAAUUUAAUGGACCUCUAGAAGUAGUUGUUCUCAUUUAUUGCAAGAAUAAAUGCUUAUAUAAUACAUUUUGCAAUAAUGAGGUUCUAGGGCAUCAAAGAGAGGGUUUUUGAAAAUAUAGGGGUUUGAUCUAAAUUGAGCCCAUACAAACUAAAUUGUUAGAUUUUCUGACGCAUUGGCGGGGUCGGUUCGGCAAUCCGACGACCCUACGCGAAGAUAUUGGCGAAAAAGGCAUUUUUGGCUUCGUUUCCGCCUGGAGCGCCGAGGCGAAGUCCAAAAAUCACGAAAACGAAACCCUAGCAUCGUGGUAACCCUAGAAGGUAGGGGUGUCAUCCCGAAGCAACUGAACUCCUCUCUAUGUCUAAGUUUGUAUUUUAACCUUGCAUCUUGUAUAUUAUUAUGCAUUAUAGGAUGAUGAUAUAUGCAUUCCCACUCUUGUAUGCUUUUUCCAUAGUUGACAUGGUAUUGUGAAAUGGAUGAUUAAUGUAAUUGAUAUACAGAUUGGGUUAUGAUAUUGGAAACCUAUGAUGCUAAACAAAAGAUGAAUCUAGUGUUUGUAUCCGAGGAUAUAACGAGUGGUAUUUAAAUAAUGUUGAAUGACAUAGAUGACGAGUGGCAUUUGAACAUAGUGUAGAAGAAUCACUUUGAUGCAAAGAACUUAGGGAUAGAUGAAUUUCCCUAGAAAUGACAAGUUGCAUGUGAACUUAGUGUAGAUGGAACACUUAAACCUGAACAUUAGGGAUAGUUGAAUUCCCGUGUUGUCGAUUAACCCUAGAUGGUAGGGUAUCCUCAGUUGGCGAGGAUUGGAUCAUACUCACAUAGUCUGUAUUCGCUUGGGGUGGUCGCUCCACAUGAGCAGUGAGCUCUGGAGUCUUCAUGUGAUGGACUAACGUACCUGUCCAGCAGACGGUCUCAGGUUUGCGAGCGGGAGGGUCUCCUUACCUAUGGGAUUGCACUGUGAGUCAUGGGCGAACCUUCGGGUUAGCCAAGGGAUUGGGUGAACUUAUGAAUGAUGAGUUUGUUGAACAUAGUAGCAUGGUAGUUGACAUCAUUACUAUAGACUUCAUGCAUUCAUAUUGAUUGAGGCAUAGUAGCGUGAUAGUAGGGUUCAUGUUGUACUUGCAGUUUAAUUCCAAUAUCUAUCUAUCUAUCUACUUGUGCCUACUUGGACCUAGUGGGGAGGUCGGCGGAGUCGGCGGCCGAACCCACUGGGAACAAUAUUUAUAUAGUUCUCACCCCACUUUUUUACAGGGCCGAGCUCGAGUGGACCGGGCGAGGAUCGUGGUAAGGGCAUAGCGCCCUAGUAGUUAGUAGUUUUCCUUAUUUGCAUUAGAGUACCCUCGUGUACAUAGAGAUGUGAUGUAUUUUGGGAACUACUUAUGUCAUGAUGAGAUGAAACGUGUAAACCUCUUGUAUAUACAUUUUGGGAGAUGGAAAUGUAAUGAAAUGUGAAUGUGGAAUGAAUGGUUGUAAUAGCCAGAACUAUCUUUCUUUUGUACACCUGUAUGUAUACUUGUGACUCUUGCUCUUGCUUGUAUCGCACUUGUGGUGCUCAUGUAUGUUGUAUGUCAUCCUGGGCGACAAAAAUGUACAUGACUCUGUUGUUGAGCCUUGGGCGGACAGGGGAGGUGCUGUCCGUUCGGCGUCUGUUCAACGUGCCUGAACCGACGGCGGUCGCGGGGCGUGACAAGGAGUGUCACCGGUUAACCAGCUUGAUAGAGGCCAAACCCGAGAGCUGCUAUUCUCGGGUGCCUACUUGGUACCGGUGCUCUUCCAAUGCUUAACCGGUUAACAAAUUCCCAGACCUGCAGUUUGGCCUCCAUUUCGCGCUGAGCGACGCUAAAACCCAUUAGUCCCACUUGGAACUCGACCUCAACCCUUUCAACAUCGUUGGAAUGUCGUAUGGACUUCGUCCAACCAUCUCCCUCGCCAUACUUUGGUCACUUUAACCAAAAGUGGUUUAACACGACAACAAUCUAUUAAUUUCCUCGAAGGUCACGAGGGCCGCCCAAGCUCGCGAAGUUCCAACUCUCCGCUCGCCUCGGAUUGCUCAGGGACACCACUUGUCCCAUCCUGCGCCGAUCUAAAUAAAGAUCGCCUGCGCGAUGCCAUUGCGUCCUAAAACACGACACUCGAUCAACCCUCGACCCUCUGGGUCGAACACGAGACAAUUAACACCGACUCAAAUCGGGCGAAAAUCACGCAAGGGCGUCUAUUCUUAUCACUCGGUUUCAUGUUGUACGCGUCCAACAUGAACACCCUCGGUUGAGAAUAAACCACACCUUGAAUCUACCUCUAAUAUCCGUCUUAGAGGUUUACCAACUUGACCCAAUCGGUCAAUUUUCGCCACAAGUCACAAGUCCUCCUCUCUCACGAGCCUUAGUUUCUAUGGUUUACUAUCCUAGGGUCUCCUAGGUCCAACUAAACCAUUCCUAUUCUCUACUUUAUGCUUUGAUACCACUUUAUCUGUCACGCCCCAAGACCCGCCUAUUUGGUCGGAUUCGGGCCCGCUAACAGACCGCCAAAUGGAUAGAGUUUUUCCUGUACGUCCUAGGCAUCGCAAUCAAUACAAUUCGCGAGGUUCCAACCAGAAACAGUAAUCAAACAAGGAUUGCAUAAGGAAGUAUCAAAAACAUAAAACAACUAAGUUAUUACAAGCAUUCACAUCACAUGCUUUUUACAUAUUACAUUUUCAUUUUUUUCUCUUCUUCCAAAUACAAUCAAGGUUGUUACAACAUUAUCUUGCAUCUUUUCUACAACCCCUAGCUAAGCUGACUCGGGGUAAUGCUAUUUCUGGUCUCGGUGGUAGGGCGCUAUCUAUGGAGCUACGCCCUUUCCUUGCGCCGCCGUGCCGCUCACGUGUGAACCUGUACCCCUAAAAACAACACGGGGGUGAGAACUAUUGUUCAUAGUUCCCAGUGGGUACGGCCACCGAAGGGAAAAGCUCGACCCACCAGGUCCGAAGGAGGCACUGAAACAUGUUAGUCCAACAAGUAUCCACAGAUAUAUAUAUAUUUCAUCAAAUAUUUUAUGCAACUAACAUUUAUCAUGUUCAUGCCUCGCAACAUGCAACAAUGCAAUCAUGCAACUCAAUAUGUAAUAAUGUAAGUAGAUCAACUGCUUCUACUUUCUGUCUCGCUAUCCAUAGGUCAUCCAAAUGACAUCUAAGUUUUCCUCUAUCUUAGAUUCUUGUCAAUUACAAUUCUGCACAUAAGGUUUUAUCUACCUUUACUAUUUGCUUACAAGACUUCAUCUACCUCUACCAAGCUAUCUGCCCGACUCGGUCUUGAGUCAAUCAUCCGCGGAGUACAGUGUAAAGCCAGGCUCGAGGUGAAGGACAUCUCACAUGCACCUCAACCUUAAAUUCACUCAACUGGGAUACCGAAUCCACUCUACUGGGAUUCAACUAUGGCUCAUAUGCUUGUCACCCAAUCAACUUGGCUAACCCAAAGGUUCGCCUCGACUCACAGUGCAAUCCCAUAGGUAAGGAGACCCUCCCGCUCGCAAACCCGAGACCGUCUCCUGGACAAGUACGUUCGUCCAUCGUGUGAAGACUUCGGAGCUCACUGCUUGGGUGGAGCGACCACCACCAGGCGAGAACAGACUAUGUGAGUAUGAUCCAAUCCUCUUCAACUGAGGAUACCCUAUCAACUAGGAAUAAUCAUGACUCGGGAAAUCCACCAAUCCCUAUAUUCAUUAUGUCAUAAAUGUCUCUACUACACUAGUUCCAAAUGCCACUCGAUCUAUUUGACAUGCUACUUGUCCACAUCGAGUUUUAUAGUCUACAUGUCCUUGUUUUUCAAUGCCGAGUUCUCUAAUCUACCUAGAGUUAUCGACCCAAGUUCAACAUGCAUAUGUCAAUUAACAUAAUCCGCAAUAUAUAUCAACAUGCAUAAUUCAUCUAGCAUAAUCCACCAUAUGUCAUUAUGCAUUUCAUUUAGCAUAUAUAAUAUAUCAUCAUGCAUUUCAUCUAGCAUAUACAAUAUGUCAUCAUGCAUAUAUUUUCAUCUAGCAUCUCAUCUAGCACUUAAUUCAUGCAUUCAUCUAGCAUUUAAUUCAUGCAUUCACCUAGCAAUUAAUUCAUGCAUUCAUCUAGCAAUUAAUUCAUGCAUUCAUCUAGUGUAUAAUUCAUUAUAUGCAUCAAUAACAAAACCACAUUCCACUUCGACAUGGAAGCAAUCUAAUAACUUCGGUGAGCACAAUCCACCUCGCAGCGCUAUCCGAUUGCUUGUAGUCACUUGCAAUCGGCCUCCUGCGGCACGCUUGGUCCGGUUCGACCCAAACUCGCAAUCGGCAACCGAACGCCCGCUAAUCCGCGACCUAGGGUCAUCAAUGGCCCAUCUCUAACCUUCAAUUAGAGAACAAUAGGGUUUAAUUAGAUCAAAACCAUCUAAUUUCCAAACCCUCAUUUUAAGCCCUAGCAUGAAAUUAACCUCCAAUUAUUCCAAAAUUAAAUGGAGCGACAUGCUAGAAACACUCUAGAGACUACUAGAANUCCAAACCCUCAUUUUAAGCCCUAGCAUGAAAUUAACCUCCAAUUAUUCCAAAAUUAAAUGGAGCGACAUGCUAGAAACACUCUAGAGACUACUAGAACACUAAGCAUUAAGGAUUAAACCAAAUCCUAAACACUUACCGAAAUUGCGAAUGUCGAGUCGAAAGCACGCCGCUCAACCGGGCGCAUUAAGACUCGAUCCGUCGUUUCCAACGCGUUCACAAGCUCGUUCUCCGCCAACGCCGCGAAUUUGAGAAAGAGAUCUAGAGAGAUGAGGGAGAUAUUUUGAGAGUGAAAGGGAAUAUUCUCUCUCUCCUUCUCCAUGCGUGUGUGCUGGUGUGUGGGUGUUGCUCGGUUGAGGAGGAAGAAGAAGAAGACACUCCUUUUUAUAGUCACACACCUCAAUAACACUAUUACAACCAGCAGUUUAGCUUUCAAAAUCUGAUACUUUUCGCCGGAGCCCUUCUGAAUAUCCGUUUGCGCUCAAAUUUGACAGUUAGGCUCGGUUUUCCUUACUAAGAAAGAAUAUAUCUUAAAUUUUCAGUUUCGAUCACUUUUGGUGACCGAAAGCUCUACUGAACUAAAAUCUCUAGCAGAUAGCAGUCGUAUUUUAUUUUCCACUUCCGGGUGUCAGAAUAAUAUGAAGCUUUAAAUCUAGCCUCAUAAAAAUAAUCCUGACAUAUUUCUAGAUUUUCAUAAUUUUCUGACACUGUGCAUUUUCUGCUAAACUAUCAGUCCCGUUCCUUACAGAAAAUUUUAAAUCUUCUGUUUUCAUUCUGAUUUCAGCACGAGUCACUUCCGACUCAUAUCUUACUUCUUUAAAUCCAAUAAAAAUAGUAUCUCACACUAUUUUUAUUUACACUUAAUUUUAUAUUAAAAUCUGGUACAGUACACCGAAACAUGCUGAAACAUUCCAGAUCUAACAUAGCUUAUUUUUUGUUCCGAAACACUCAACUUUGGGCGUCGGAACAGCAGUACAUCAUUUGGUGAAAGAGCGAUUGAUUCUAAGCAAUCUAUGUCGCAACCGGGGUCCCGAUUGUUGCCGUUUUGGCCCCAGGAACCCCCGAAUCGCAAAGCGUCGAUUCGUGAGUCACAAGGGCUCAUUGACGACAGCACACAAAGUGUCACGCUCGCUGCGACCAGCAGCAACAUGAAUCCCACAUGCGGAGCCAAAAACGAGUCUCUGACGGCACCAACAUUGACGAUAUAAGCACCAAUCACCCUGCUAAUCGAACCAAGAGGUUCACGGGCAUCGGACAAUGAACGAGGACACAAAUAUUUCAGUAUGUAUGCCAGCUACGAUGCAAAAACACCGCUGUGACGCAUAUCGAGCCCAAAUGCAUGACUACGAUCUCAAACGUGUGAUAGUUUUUCGACAACUAAGAAGUUAGGGCCUUACUGUUGUUCCAGAGUCUUCGAAAACAUGGCAAGGAUGAAAUCCUCACGAUCACGAGGUUCUGGACUCCCUCCUUGACAGCCCCACACGAGGUUCACGCUUGUUGCGCGGCGAAACUGCGAACAACGUCGCGCUGCAGCCUGUGCGCGAUAGAUCGUACGAUUUGCGAACUAGCCAAGAAAUGCUAAGAAUUUAGGUGAGCCUGGCGAUGUAAAGGACCUGUGGGGGAGGGUGCUUACCUCUGAUAUUCCCCACGUGGUUUAGAUCUGCCAGGAACGCAGAUCAGCUCCAAGGCGAGGCUCGAACGCGGCUGCUCGACUACUUCUUCGCAGCAGCAGAAUUUCAGUGAUUUGCAGCCACGAAGGAGGGCUCGAGAGGGCUAAUGCAUGUUGGAGGAUGCUUGAGGGAGGCAUUGAUAACGUCCCAAAGCAGCUACGGCCGCCCCACAGGUGUUGCGGCCCAACACGGCAAGGUUAGGCCCGAAUCCUUGCACCCGCGGGGAAGGACGGUCCAAGGUUCGUUGGCUGCGCUGGGGAUGAAGCAAGGGGGCGAGGGAGGUCCUCCACACCUUCAAACCUUCAAAACUGAGAGAGAGGAGGAGAAAGAUGUGGUUCAAACCAGGGAUCAAGGGAGAAGGAGAGAUAGAGAGAGAAUGCGGUCUUUCUCUCACCGGCGCUCCGACGAUCAAAAUGGCUGGCCAGCAGCCAUGGGGAGUUGCGGUUGCUAUAUAUGGAGAGAGUGGCUGCGGCAAGGGGAGGGGUUGGAGGCGGCUAGGGUUAGGGUUUAGAGAAAAGAAACCCUAGCCUCCAAGCCGUGCAUGCUAUAUUUCAUGCGAAAUUGUACAUAACUCCCCCUGACAAUUGAUUUCUUUGCGAGUCCCUCUCAUGAGGUGCGUUUUGCAUAGGAGCCCUUCCACAAUCAACCCCAAUCAGGUCCAUACAUAAAAUAAUAGGUUUUUCCCUCUCGAAACCCAAGUUGCGCCUCGCUGAAUUAUCAAAAUCUGCUAUUUUUUGGUGUUCAGAUUGCCGAAUCCAAAAUCUGACUUCACCAUGACUCUCGGCACUGCCGGACCAUUGAAAACAACCUAUUGGAUCGAUUAAAACGGUGCCUGAUUCGCCCUCGAAGCCAACAAUACACAUACGCCACCAAACAAAACGCCGGUUACUAUUCACUUUAAGUGAUUAGUAAAAGUCGCGUAACUUCUCUAUUCUAACUCGUUUUCUCCUGAAACUUGACGAGUGUUUAUGUAAUUGAAUUACACAUAAAAAUAUCGUCAACAAGGAGUUUUGCUACACAACUAAAAUCUUAGUCCUCACAUAGGUACAGCUACAAAGUUACUAGAAACAUCUGUAUCAAAUUUCUUUAUAACCACAGUGGCACACGUAUGGAUCUCUAGAACUAUUAUAGCCGAAAAUAGGUGCAACUAUGAAGACAUAAUGAACAUACAUGCUUAAAAAUGAUUACGGCUAUAAUGAUGGACGACACACAUAAUAAUAGUAGCACUCAUAAUAGCUUACGGGCUAUCCAUAUAUUCAUUGUAGAAGAUUGUGUCGAUUCCAACAGAUGAAUUUAUAUACGAACGCAUAUACUACCAUUCAAAACACCUUUAUGGAAAACACUGUACAGAUAUAAGGUCGCAACGAGCAGCUCUACGACAUUUUGUUUUCGCUACAUUUUACAGAACAUGAGAUGUUCAUGACAAGAUUAUUUCAGCGCUAGAAGAUAAAUUUUGAUACCUUAAAGACAUACAGAGCAAGUAUAGUAGAUAUUCAGAACACUUAUAAUUUUAUACGUGACUACCAUAAGUGCAAUAGAAAAGAUUAUACGAUUACCGAUAGAUCAAUUUAUGCACGAACGUCCGUACUGCCACGCUUAAUGUUACAAAUUUCUAAGGUGGCGGAUUUUUCCAGCAUGCAUCAUUCAGUAUGUUUUUACAGUAUUCAUUAUGAUUAAUUUCAUAUUAAUAACUCUAUAGAUUUGAAAAAAUUAUCUUAAAACUUAAACUGAUAUAGGUGUCUGCCAACACGAAUAACGCACCUCGCACAGUCGAUGAAUUUUCUGUGGAGUAGUAUUGAUAAUUCAUAUUAGUAUUAUAUGUAUAUGGAUAAGUAUUGGGGGUCCAUGGCUUCCAAUAGAUGCAAGCAUCUAUUGUUAAUUACCCCAUAGAGAUUGGGGCACCUUCUAUUAAGAUAUCUUCAUAGAGAGGAUGAAAUGAAUCGCAUCUUGAUUUAUUGAAUUCUAAGUAUAUGUAUUAGAAUUCAGUUGGAUUUGAGGUUGACUAGGUUCUAAGAUAUGUGUUAAGACCUAGUCGAUAUUAAACUCUAAGUAUAUGUAUUAGAGUCUAAUGGCUCUAAGUAUAUGUUUUAGAGUCCAAUUAUAUUUGAUUUCACCUUGGUUGUAUUUUCUAAGGUGAAUAUGUGACCAAAUCCCAAGUAUAUGUAUUGAGAUACGUCAAGUUUGAUUUUAUCUGAAGGUAAAGAAUGACUAAUUCCUAAGUACAUGUAUCAGGAUUAACCGAGUUUAAUAUAUUUUUCACUCUAGUUAUAUGUGCUAGAGUGAGGAUUUGACUAAACCCUGAGGUAUUACGUUAGGGUUCGUUGGAUUUGAUUUGCAUGAACUCUAAGUAUAUGUAUUAGAGCUCGAUUAGAUAUGGAUUUUAACUCUAGGUAGAUAUGCUAGAGCAAAAGGCUGACUAGACCUUAAGUAUAUGUGUUAGGACUAGUCGAGUUUGGUUUGACUUCCACUUUAGGUAUAUGUGCUAGAGCAAAAGGUAGACUAGACCCUUAAGUAUAUGUCAGGAUUUGAUUUAUGGUUCAUGAGGUUUGGUAUGUGGUUUAUGGAAUUUGGUUCAUGAGAUUUGGUUCAUGAACUUGGGUAUUGUUCAAGGAAUUGGUUUAUUGUUCAUGAGGUUUGUCAUGUGGUUUAUGGAAUUUGGUUCAUGAGAUUUUGUUCAUGAACUUCGGUAUAGUUCAAGGAUAUUUGGUGUAUGAACUUAUUUCAUGGUUCGUGGGAUUUGAUUUAUGAACUUAGUUCAUGGUUCAUGGGAUUUGGUUCAUGAACUUGGUUCAUGGUUCAUGAACUUGGUUCAUGGUUCAUAAACUUGGUUCAUGGUUCAUAGGGUUUGGUGUAUGGUUCGUGAGAUUUGGUUCAUAAUUCAUGGGGUUUGGUGUAUGAUAUUUGAUUCAUGAACUUGGAUAUGGUUCAUGGGGUUUGGUGUAUGGUACAUGAGAUUUGGUUCAUGAACUUGGGUAUAUGGUUUAUGGAAUUUGAUUCAUGAUCCUUAAAAUUUGGUUAUGAGAUUUGGUUCACGAUCUAUGAAACUUGGUUAUGGGAUUUGGUUUAUGAUCCAUGAAAUUUGAUUAUAGAAUUUGGAUAUGGUGGACUAAAUUGGAUUCAGAUUUUUAUUGUAGGUUAGAUUGGAUUUGGAUUUUUUUUGUGGAUUUAGGUUUUGUGGGUUUUCGGCCUUUGGAUUUGGAUUUGGAUUUUUGUAGAUUUGGGUUUAUGAAUUUUGGGCCUUUGGAUUUGGACUUUUGUAGAUUUGGGUUUUAUGGAUUUUGAAUUUUUGUUUGUUUGGGUUUUUGUAGUGGAUUGGAUUGGAUUUGGAUUUUAUGGAUUUAGGUUUUGUAGGUUUUGGGCUUUUAUGAUGGGCUGCAUUUGAUUUGGGUUUUACCUGUUUAGGUUUUGUAGGUUUUGGGUUUUUAUGGAGGGCUGCAUUUGAUUUGAAUUUUAUGGGUUUAGGUUUUGUAGGUUUUGGGCUUUUAUGGUGGGCUGCAUUUGAUUUGGAUUUUAUGGGUUUAAGUGUAACGAACCGAAACUCGGUAGAAAAUAUCGAAUUUUAGCCAAAUUGACUAAAGUGUGUGAAAAAAAUAGUUGGGCAAGUUCCAUUUAGCUUUUCAAUAAUGUUGGAAGGGUUAAAAGUGAGUUUAAGAAGGGUUAGAAGGGUUUUAGCAUCGACCGGCGCUAAAUAGAAUCAAAACAAUGCGAAAAUUG